rnacentral:tRNA from 1 species
CUUCUCAUGGUGUAGUGGCGGUAACGCUCCUGUUUAGAGAGUAGAAGUCGUGAGUUUGAAUCUCACCGAGAAGA